rnacentral:rRNA from 1 species
GAUGAACGCUGGCGGCGUGCCUAAUACAUGCAAGUCGAGCGAACAGAUGAGGAGCUUGCUCCUCUGACGUUAGCGGCGGACGGGUGAGUAACACGUGGAUAACCUACCUAUAAGACUGGGAUAACUUCGGGAAACCGGAGCUAAUACCGGAUAAUAUAUUGAACCGCAUGGUUCAAUAGUGAAAGACGGUUUUGCUGUCACUUAUAGAUGGAUCCGCGCCGCAUUAGCUAGUUGGUAAGGUAACGGCUUACCAAGGCAACGAUGCGUAGCCGACCUGGGAGGGGGUUCGGCCACACUGGACCUGAGACCCGGUCCAGACUCCUACGGGAGGCAGCAGUAGGGAAUCUUCCGCAAUGGGCGAAAGCCUGACGGAGCAACGCCGCGUGAUUGAUGAAGGCCUUCGGUUCGUAAAACCCUGUUAUUAGGGAAGACCAAAUGUGUAAGUAACUAUGCCCGUCUGGACGGUACCUAAUCAGAAAGCCACGCCUAACUACUG